UCUCCGUUGGUGAACCAGCGGAGGGAUCAUUACUGAGUCACGUGCUCUAACAACCCUUCUGUGGACCUGAUUAAACCGUUGCCUCGGCGGGCGGCCCGCUCUCCAUUUUUUUAUUGGUGGGUGGGCCAAAUAGUCCGUGCCGCGCCUUAGGACCCCUGAGGCGCCCGGCGCCAGCCGCUGGCCCCAAAUUUAAACUCUAGUAACCUUAUCUUCUGAGUUGCAAAAGCAAAAAAUAAGUCAAAACUUUCAACAACGGAUCUCUUGGCUCUG
rnacentral:misc_RNA from 1 species